rnacentral:misc_RNA from 1 species
GAUGAAGAACGUAGCGAAAUGCGAUACGUAAUGUGAAUUGCAGAAUUCAGUGAAUCAUCGAGUCUUUGAACGCACAUUGCGCCCCCUGGUAUUCCGGGGGGCAUGCCUGUCCGAGCGUCAUUGCUGCCCUCAAGCACGGCUUGUGUGUUGGGCCUCCGUCCUCCUCCCGGGGGACGGGCCCGAAAGGCAGCGGCGGCACCGCGUCCGGUCCUCGAGCGUAUGGGGCUUCGUCACCCGCUCUUGUAGGCCCGGCCGGCGCUUGCCGACACAUCAAUCUUUUUUCCAGGUUGAACUCGGAUCAGGUAUGGAUACCCGCUGAACUUAAGCAUAUCAAUAAGCGGAGGA